rnacentral:misc_RNA from 1 species
UCCGGCUUAUCACCGGCAGUUUCUUUAGAGUGCCCAACUAAAUGCUGGCAACUAAAGACGAGGGUUGCGCUCGUUGCGGGACUUAACCCAACAUCUCACGACACGAGCUGACGACAGCCAUGCAGCACCUGUGCACGGUCCAGCCGAACUGAAGGACUCCCUUUCAGGUGUCCGCGACCGGCAUGUCAAGGCCUGGUAAGGUUCUUCGCGUUGCCUCGAAUUAAACCACAUGCUCCACCGCUUGUGCGGGUCCCCGUCAAUUCCUUUGAGUUUUAACCUUGCGGCCGUACUCCCCAGGCGGAGUGCUUAACGCGUUAACUACGACACUGGAACCGAAGUCCCAACAUCUAGCACUCAUCGUUUACGGCGUGGACUAC